AUCCAUUGCUAGUAGCAAGCCCACCAAUUACUACUAUCUUUUCUAAUUCUUCGUAAGCCUCUAUUGAAUAUAUUUCUAUUAUAGCAUUUUGAUCUAUACUUAUAGCUAAAUUUUCAAGAACCUUUAUCAAAUCAUCUUCCAAACCUAUUUCUUCUUUUACUCCAACUAUGGCUUCAUCACUUGAAACUAAACCCAUUCUUUUUAAGUUUUUUUUUUAUUUCUUCACCCUUCUUCUAUGUAUAAAAUCUUAAUCUUUAAUCUUUUGAGUACUCACAAAUCUAUUACUAGUCAAGUUUAAAAAAUCAAAACUCAUAUUAUCUACAA
rnacentral:lncRNA from 1 species